rnacentral:rRNA from 1 species
GAUGAACGCUGGCGGCGUGCCUAAUACAUGCAAGUCGAGCGAACGGACGCGAAGCUUGCUUCUCUGAUGUUAGCGGCGGACGGGUGUGUCACACGUGGAUAACCUACCUAUAAGACUGGGAUCACUUCGGGACACCGGAGCUAAUACCGGAUAAUCUUUUGCACCGCAUGGUUCAAAAGUGAAAGACGGUCUUGCUGUCACUUCUCGAUGGAUCCGCGCUGCAUUAGCUAGUUGGUAAGGUAACGGCUUACCACGGCAACGAUGCAUAGCCGACCUGAGAGGGUGAUCGGCGACACUGGAACUGAGACACGGUCCAGACUCCUACGGGAGGCAGCAGUAGGGAAUCUUCCGCAAUGGGCGAAAGCCUGACGGAGCAACGCCGCGUGAGUGAUGAAGGUCUUCGGAUCGUAAAGCUCUGUUAUUAGGUAAGAACAUAUGUGUAAGUAACUGUGCACAUCUUGACGGUACCGAAUCAGAAAGCCACGGCUAACUACGUG